UCAGGCAUGGCUGGAUGAGAGCAUCACGAGUGCCAUCAACAAAGAGGCCAGGGCACUGAGAUUUCCAGUGAUUUAGCAUCCUGGCUGGGAGGGGUCAUGUGUUCUAUAGUGAGUUCUGAGUAUCCUGCACCGCCCUCGAGGACCUACAGGGGGCGCGCGAAGCCAGCGUGUCUUAGGUAGCGGUGCGCAUGCGCAGUCCGCGUCAGCAGCCAGCGUCUUCCCUGGGGGCAGAGCUUGUUUUCCUCAGGACGGAGCGGGGGCAGCCAUGGCGGCUCCGGGGCCGCGCGGCUCGCGUGUCCGCGGGAGGAGGACGCUCCCCGCCGGGUGUCUGAAGUUAUGCCAGUUUCCCGCGGCCUGAGCUGGCUUCCUAUCGGGGUGUGUGUGGACCUGACCGAGCUGGGGCCCCGGCCGGCAGAGCAGGAGGGGACGGGUGCGCUGGCGGGCCCGCUUCGACUAUUCUCCUCGCCCGCUGGGAGCGGGCCAUUUGAAUAUGUUCACCCAUGAAGUGAAAUAGACUACCUGAAGUCUGAGUCCUGAGAGACAACUCUGGUGGAAUGCUUCUUAGACAGUGACCCAGGACACAGGCCUACCAGUGGUGUGGUGAUGUGUGGAAGCCUGAUUUGGACCUGCGUCUCUGAAUCCCCAUGGCUGGUAUUGCUUUUCUUAAGUCUGCUCUAUGUCCAUCUUUCAGAGGUCCUGGCCUCUCUUGCCUACUGCCCGGGGAGAAUUAGCCCACACACCUGAAGAAGUAUGUGAAUUUGA